AGUGAACGCUGGCGGUAGGCCUAACACAUGCAAGUCGAACGGCAGCACAGUAAGAGCUUGCUCUUACGGGUGGCGAGUGGCGGACGGGUGAGGAAUACAUCGGAAUCUACUUUUUCGUGGGGGAUAACGCAGGGAAACUUACGCUAAUACCGCAUACGGCCUACGGGUGAAAGCAGGGGAUCUUCGGACCUUGCGCGAUUGAAUGAGCCGAUGUCGGAUUAGCUAGUUGGCGGGGUAAAGGCCCACCAAGGCGACGAUCCGUAGCUGGUCUGAGAGGAUGAGCAGCCACACUGGAACUGAGACACGGUCCAGACUCCUACGGGAGGCAGCAGUGGGGAAUAUUGGACAAUGGGCGCAAGCCUGAUCCAGCCAUACCGCGUGGGUGAAGAAGGCCUUCGGGUUGUAAAGCCCUUUUGUUGGGAAAGAAAAGCAGCAGGUUAAUACCCCGCUGUUCUGACGGUACCCAAAGAAUAAGCACCGGCUAACUUCGU
rnacentral:rRNA from 1 species